GAUGAACGCUGGCGGCGUGCCUAACACAUGCAAGUCGAACGGAGUCGUUUUGGAAAUCUCUUCGGAGAUGGAAUUCUCGACUUAGUGGCGGACGGGUGAGUAACGCGUGAGCAAUCUGCCUUUAAGAGGGGGAUAACAGUCGGAAACGGCUGCUAAUACCGCAUAAAGCAUUCAAUUCGCAUGUUUUUGAUGCCAAAGGAGCAAUCCGCUUUUAGAUGAGCUCGCGUCUGAUUAGCUAGUUGGCGGGGUAACGGCCCACCAAGGCGACGAUCAGUAGCCGGACUGAGAGGUUGAACGGCCACAUUGGGACUGAGACACGGCCCAGACUCCUACGGGAGGCAGCAGUGGGGAAUAUUGCGCAAUGGGGGAAACCCUGACGCAGCAACGCCGCGUGAUUGAAGAAGGCCUUCGGGUUGUAAAGAUCUUUAAUCAGGGACGAAACAAAUGACGGUACCUGAAGAAUAAGCUCCGGCUAACUACGUG
rnacentral:rRNA from 1 species